rnacentral:rRNA from 2 species
GCAUCCGUAGCCGGCUGCUCAAGUUUCCGGUUAAAUCCACACGCUUAACGUAUGGGCUGCCGGAAAUACUGUUCAGCUAGGGAGUGGGAGAGGUAGACGGUACUCGAUAGGAAGGGGUAAAAUCCUUUGAUCUAUUGAUGACCACCUGUGGCGAAGGCGGUCUACCAGAACACGUUCGACGGUGAGGGAUGAAAGCUGGGGGAGCAAACCGGAUUAGAUACCCGGGUAGUCCCAGCUGUAAACGAUGCAGACUCGGUGAUGCAUUGGCUUAUGGCCAGUGCAGUGCCGCAGGGAAGCCGUUAAGUUUGCCGCCUGGGAAGUACGUACGCAAGUAUGAAACUUAAAGGAAUUGGCGGGGGAGCACAAGCCG